rnacentral:rRNA from 1 species
GGAUCAGUAAGUUGGUCGUGCCACGGGUAUGUACUGGUCUUACUGAUUCCUCCUUCCUGAUGAAUCAUAAUGCCAUUAAUUUGGUGUUGUGGGGAAACUGGACUGUUACUUUGAAAAAAUUAGAGUGUUUAAAGCAGGCGCAUGCUUGAAUACAUUAGCAUGGAAUAAUAGAAUAGGACCUCGGUUCUAUUUUGUUGGUUUCUAGGGCCGAAGUA